rnacentral:misc_RNA from 1 species
GAUGAAGAACGCAGCGAAAUGCGAUAAGUAAUGUGAAUUGCAGAAUUCAGUGAAUCACCGAAUCUUUGAACGCACCUUGCGCUCUUUGGUAUUCCGAAGAGCAUGCCUGUUUGAGUGUCAUGAAAAUAUCAACCUUGACUUGGGUUUUGUGCUCUAGUCUCGGCUUGGAAUUGGGUGCUUGCCGCUUUUACGAGCGGCUCACCUUAAAUGUAUUAGCUGGAUCUGUCUUUGAGACUUGGUUUGACUUGGCGUAAUAAGUAUUUCGCUAAGGACAUUCUUCGGAGUGGCCUCGUUUCUAGGACGCUUGUCCGCUUUCCAAUACAAGUUCCACCUCGUGGACAUGACUUUUUAUUAUCUGGCCUCAAAUCAGGUAGGACUACCCGCUGAACUUAAGCAUAUCAAUAAGCGGAGGA